rnacentral:rRNA from 1 species
UCCGUAGGCGGUGCGGCAAGUCGGAAGUGAAAUCUCAGGGCUUAACCCUGAGGCUGCUUCCGAAACUGCCGUGCUGGAGUGCGAGAGAGGCGGGUGGAAUUGCAGGUGUAGCGGUGAAAUGCGUAGAUAUCCGCAGGAACAUCCGAGGCGAAAGCGGCUCGCUGGAUCGCAACUGACGCUGAGGGACGAAAGCUAGGGGAGCAAACAGGAUUAGAUACCCUGGUAGUCCUAGCCCUAAACGAUCAGGACUGGGCGUGGGCCUCGUACGGGGCUCGUGCCGCAGCUAACGCGUUAAGUCCUGCGCCUGGGGAGUACGGUCGCAAGGCUGAA